GAUGAACGCUGGCGGCGUGCCUAAUACAUGCAAGUCGAGCGAACGGACGAGAAGCUUGCUUCUCUGAUGUUAGCGGCGGACGGGUGAGUAACACGUGGAUAACCUACCUAUAAGACUGGGAUAACUUCGGGAAACCGGAGCUAAUACCGGAUAAUAUUUUGAACCGCAUGGUUCAAAAGUGAAAGACGGUCUUGCUGUCACUUAUAGAUGGAUCCGCGCUGCAUUAGCUAGUUGGUAAGGUAACGGCUUACCAAGGCAACGAUGCAUAGCCGACCUGAGAGGGUGAUCGGCCACACUGGAACUGAGACACGGUCCAGACUCCUACGGGAGGCAGCAGUAGGGAAUCUUCCGCAAUGGGCGAAAGCCUGACGGAGCAACGCCGCGUGAGUGAUGAAGGUCUUCGGAUCGUAAAACUCUGUUAUUAGGGAAGAACAUAUGUGUAAGUAACUGUGCACAUCUUGACGGUACCUAAUCAGAAAGCCACGGCUAACUACGUGCCAGCAGCCGCGGUAAUACGUAGGUGGCAAGCGUUAUCCGGAAUUAUUGGGCGUAAAGCGCGCGUAGGCGGUUUUUUAAGUCUGAUGUGAAAGCCCACGGCUCAACCGUGGAGGGUCAUUGGAAACUGGAAAACUUGAGUGCAGAAGAGGAAAGUGGAAUUCCAUGUGUAGCGGUGAAAUGCGCAGAGAUAUGGAGGAACACCAGUGGCGAAGGCGACUUUCUGGUCUGUAACUGACGCUGAUGUGCGAAAGCGUGGGGAUCAAACAGGAUUAGAUACCCUGGUAGUCCACGCCGUAAACGAUGAGUGCUAAGUGUUAGGGGGUUUCCGCCCCUUAGUGCUGCAGCUAACGCAUUAAGCACUCCGCCUGGGGAGUACGACCGCAAGGUUGAAACUCAAAGGAAUUGACGGGGACCCGCACAAGCGGUGGAGCAUGUGGUUUAAUUCGAAGCAACGCGAAGAACCUUACCAAAUCUUGACAUCCUUUGACAACUCUAGAGAUAGAGCUUUCCCCUUCGGGGGACAAAGUGACAGGUGGUGCAGGGUUGUCGUCAACUCGUGUCGUGAGAUGUUGGGUUAAGUCCCGCAACGAGCGCAACCCUUAAGCUUAGUUGCCAUCAUUAAGUUGGGCACUCUAAGUUGACUGCCGGUGACAAACCGGAGGAAGGUGGGGAUGACGUCAAAUCAUCAUGCCCCUUAUGAUUUGGGCUACACACGUGCUACAAUGGACAAUACAAAGGGCAGCGAAACCGCGAGGUCAAGCAAAUCCCAUAAAGUUGUUCUCAGUUCGGAUUGUAGUCUGCAACUCGACUACAUGAAGCUGGAAUCGCUAGUAAUCGUAGAUCAGCAUGCUACGGUGAAUACGUUCCCGGGUCU
rnacentral:rRNA from 1 species